AAAGAAAAAAAUCGAAAAAAAAAAGAAAAAAUAAUAUAAUCAAUUGAUUGAGCAAAGUGAAAAGUGGGCAGAACUCGAAAGUGACGAUUACAUGAACGCCUCGACAAUUUUUGUUAUUCUUGUCUCGUUCUUUCUAUUUGAAAAUUCGAAUUGGUUGGCGAUUCUCGUCUGCUUCAUUUUCAAUUCGAGAAUCGCGCAGUGUCGCCGAUUUGGCGCCACGUACACCAUCAAGAUAUCUAUUGGGAAUUCGAAAGAGUCUUCGAUUCCCGGCAUUAAAUGCAGAUUCCAAUACAUUGAAAAGCGUUCUUGUUCAUUAUUGACCAUUCGAUUACUGAUUACUGUUAUUUUUAAUAUUA